rnacentral:rRNA from 2 species
AGUGAAGCGGGAUGAAGCUCAAAUUUAAAAUCUGGCUGGUUUACUAGUCCGAAUUGUAGUUUAAAGAAGCGUUUUCGGUCGCAACCCGGGUAUAAAUCCUUUGGAAUAGGGUAUCAUAGAGGGUGAGAAUCCCGUCUUUGACUCGGUGGAUGCGACUAUGUGAUACGUUUUCAAAGAGUCGAGUUGUUUGGGAAUGCAGCUCAAAAUGGGUGGUAAAUUUCAUCUAAAGCUAAAUAUUGGCGAGAGACCGAUAGCGAACAAGUACCGUGAGGGAAAGAUGAAAAGAACUUUGAAAAGAGAGUUAAACAGUGCGUGAAAUUGUUGAAAGGGAAACGUUUGACACCAGUCAUGUGGGUGGAAAAUCAGUCUUUUGGGAGGGGGAGUGGCAGGAAAUCAGACCGCAAGGCUGACUUUUGUCUCAUUCUCUUUCUAAGGGAUGCACUUUUUCAUUUGCAGGUCAACAUCAGUUUUCUCUGCUGGACAAAACUCUGAGAGAAUGUAGCAGCUUUGGCUGUGUUAUAGCUCUGGAGCGAUACAGUGGAGGGGACUGAGGUAUUUCGCAGUGUGUGCUCUCGGGCAAGGUUGACUGGGUGCUAUGUGAUGGCUCGGUGUACAAUACAUGUAUUUUGCGCUGUGUCUGUUGCAUACUCGCUUGAAUCAGCUCUUUCACGCUUAGGAUGUUGACUUAAUGGUUUUAAACGACC